UUAGAAGAAGAUUUAGAUAUUUUCCCCAGCACACAUGGGGACCCUACAGAAGACAUAGUCAAAAUUGAAAGAAGUGACACUAAAGAGAAUUCAUGUCAAGCUUGUGGAGAACAAGGAGAUCUUUUGACAUGUGAAACAUGCACCUAUUCUUUCCAUUCUAAGUGUAUAAUCACACCACUUAAAAGCCUCUUUCCAGAUAGUUGGAGGUGCCCUGAAUGUGUUAGCCCACUCAGUGGUAUUGAAAAGAUAUUAGAUUGUGAGAUGCGUCCUGUGCUGGCUGCUGAAAGUGAUGCACAAAAGUUGGAGUCGAA
rnacentral:sRNA from 1 species